GACGAACGCUGGCGGCGUGCCUAAUACAUGCAAGUAGAACGCACAGUUUAUACCGUAGCUUGCUACACCAUAGACUGUGAGUUGCGAACGGGUGAGUAACGCGUAGGUAACCUGCCUGGUAGCGGGGGAUAACUAUUGGAAACGAUAGCUAAUACCGCAUAAUAUUAAUUAUUGCAUGAUAAUUAAUUGAAAGGUGCAAUUGCACCACUACCAGAUGGACCUGCGUUGUAUUAGCUAGUAGGUGAGGUAACGGCUCACCUAGGCGACGAUACAUAGCCGACCUGAGAGGGUGAUCGGCCACACUGGGACUGAGACACGGCCCAGACUCCUACGGGAGGCAGCAGUAGGGAAUCUUCGGCAAUGGACGAAAGUCUGACCGAGCAACGCCGCGUGAGUGAAGAAGGUUUUCGGAUCGUAAAGCUCUGUUGUAAGAGAAGAACGGGUGUGAGAGUGGAAAGUUCACACUGUGACGGUAUCUUACCAGAAAGAGGCGGCUAACUACGUG
rnacentral:rRNA from 1 species